AUACGGAGGAUCCGAGCGUUAUCCGGAUUUAUUGGGUUUAAAGGGUGCGCAGGCGGCCAUUUAAGUCAGCGGUUAAAUCGUGGGGCUCAACCCCAUUCUGCCGUUGAUACUGGGUGGCUUGAUUGCGGUCGAGGUUGGCGGAAUUCGUUGUGUAGCGGUGAAAUGCAUAGAUAUGAAGAAGAACACCGAUUGCGUAGGCAGCUGACCAGACCGCAAAUGACGCUCAUGCACGAAAGUGCGGGGAUCGAACAGGAUUAGAUGCCCUGGUAGUCCGCACAGUAAACGAUGAAUACUUGUUUUCGGCGAUAUAAUGUCGGAGGCAAAGCGAAAGCGAUAAGUAUUCCACCUGGGGAGUACGCCGGCAACGGUGAAACUCAAAUGAAUUGGCGGGG
rnacentral:rRNA from 1 species